rnacentral:lncRNA from 1 species
CCUUAGGGUUUCAUUCAUUUCAAAUUUCAAUCAAUUAUUUGCACUAGAGAUUGGUUGUUUGGAGAAAAAGGUAUGAGUUUUUUGUGUUAUUAAUGUUAACAUUUUAUAUUAUUGAUAUAUAUUUAAUAUUAAUUCAUAUUUUUUUCGUUCAAAGCCUUCAAAAGCGAAGUACCAGCAUCUAAGUUAGCCGAAGACUUUCUACAUGGCGAUGAUGAACCUCAAACCGAAUCUUCUUCGGUCUCCACUAUUGUUGUUGCAUGAAGGCUGUCACUUAGUCUAGUUAUGUUUUGAUUUGUUAAGCUCACUUGGAUUAUGUUGUAGUUAUGUUAGGAAUUGACGACUCUUGGUUGAUGCAUUGUUAUUUUCAUUUGAGCUUAUUAUAUUUUGUUAAGCUUAUUGGUUUAAUGCUUUAUAUUGAUUGGAUUUUUAGUUUGGCAUAUGUUGAAUUGUUGA